AGGUUCUUUUUGUAAGAUGUUUUCAUGGUGUGGGAAUAAGACUUGGUGGUCUAAUACAGCUAAUAUGUAGGUUAGCAUCACAGCUUGUCCGUAAGGAUUGAGGCUGAGAAUGGCCAUUGGAGCUGACUUUUAUGGUAACUUUAACUGUGGCUGAAUGAAAUUAUUGUGUGAACUAACAGCACAGAAUGUAAAUCAGACAAUUUUUGUGUAUGUUUCAAAAAAUGUGUAUAAAUUUUUACAAAAAAAAAAAAAUGUGUAAAGAUUCUCCAUUUUCAACAAGAUUGGAAGUUGAAGGUUAACUUGUAUUUGAAAUUUCAAAAAUUCUCUUUAUUUUUUCCAUUCAAACCCAUGGCUAUAUUCUGGUAUCUAUACUCAUAUCCAUUAUUGGUUUAACACUUUUUUUUUGUCAUGCUUAUGGAUACUGAACUAGUUUUUUUGUAUGUAGUUUUGUAAUGAUGAGUUUAUAGUUCAGAUCCUUAUUCAUUAUUUUCCCCCCUGUGACUAGAUUUGAUUGAUACUUUGAAAAUGAAGUGAAAAGGACAAAUUUUACAAUUUUACUUGUAGACCUACUUGAGAUGUCUUAAUAAUGGUCCAUGUGUAGUCAAAACACUUCCAGUAGGUUAAAAAUGGAGAAUCUAAAAAAAAAAAAAAAAGAAAAAAAAUUAUUUUAUUGAAAUGUGCUUUUGGGGUUUUCUGAAUUGUUAGAUAUAUAAAUUUUUUCCAACUUUUUGUUAUUUUUAGCAGGGUUUUUGGC